rnacentral:rRNA from 1 species
UGCAGUCGAGCGGACCGACGGGAGCUUGCUCCCUUAGGUCAGCGGCGGACGGGUGAGUAACACGUGGGUAACCUGCCUGUAAGACUGGGAUAACUCCGGGAAACCGGGGCUAAUACCGGAUGCUUGAUUGAACCGCAUGGUUCAAUUAUAAAAGGUGGCUUUUAGCUACCACUUACAGAUGGACCCGCGGCGCAUUAGCUAGUUGGUGAGGUAACGGCUCACCAAGGCAACGAUGCGUAGCCGACCUGAGAGGGUGAUCGGCCACACUGGGACUGAGACACGGCCCAGACUCCUACGGGAGGCAGCAGUAGGGAAUCUUCCGCAAUGGACGAAAGUCUGACGGAGCAACGCCGCGUGAGUGAUGAAGGUUUUCGGAUCGUAAAACUCUGUUGUUAGGGAAGAACAAGUACCGUUCGAAUAGGGCGGUACCUUGACGGUACCUAACCAGAAAGCCACGGCUAACUACGUGCCAGCAGCCGCGGUAAUACGUAGGUGGCAAGCGUUGUCCGGAAUUAUUGGGCGUAAAGCGCGCGCAGGCGGUUUCUUAAGUCUGAUGUGAAAGCCCCCGGCUCAACCGGGGAGGGUCAUUGGAAACUGGGGAACUUGAGUGCAGAAGAGGAGAGUGGAAUUCCACGUGUAGCGGUGAAAUGCGUAGAGAUGUGGAGGAACACCAGUGGCGAAGGCGACUCUCUGGUCUGUAACUGACGCUGAGGCGCGAAAGCGUGGGGAGCGAACAGGAUUAGAUACCCUG